AUUGAACGCUGGCGGCAUGCUUUACACAUGCAAGUCGAACGGUAACAGGCCGCAAGGUGCUGACGAGUGGCGAACGGGCGAGUAAUGCAUCGGAACGUGCCCAGUCGUGGGGGAUAACGCAGCGAAAGCUGCGCUAAUACCGCAUACGAUCUAUGGAUGAAAGCGGGGGACCGUAAGGCCUCGUGCGAUUGGAGCGGCCGAUGUCAGAUUAGGUAGUUGGUGGGGUAAAGGCUCACCAAGCCAACGAUCUGUAGCUGGUCUGAGAGGACGACCAGCCACACUGGGACUGAGACACGGCCCAGACUCCUACGGGAGGCAGCAGUGGGGAAUUUUGGACAAUGGGCGCAAGCCUGAUCCAGCAAUGCCGCGUGCAGGAAGAAGGCCUUCGGGUUGUAAACUGCUUUUGUACGGAACGAAAAGGUUUGGGUUAAUACCCUGGGCCGAUGACGGUACCGUAAGAAUAAGCACCGGCUAACUACGUGCCAGCCGCCGCCGUAA
rnacentral:rRNA from 1 species